AGGUAAAGGAAUGAAGCAUGUUGUACCUUUCUAAUCUUCUUCUAUGGAAUGAGUAACUUGAGUUCAAAAGAAGGUAGCAAGUUUCCCAAGUUCCAAGUUUCACACUUACUUCCCCACUGUAGUGAAAGAAAAGUUUUCAGAACCUAUGCCAGAAGUUAUAAUAAAUCCUAACAGCCAAAAGCUAACACACAGUUCAGAAAUGAGAGAGGG